GGGACUGUUUUUAAACGUAAUUCACUGUUUUUAUUACAGUAAAAAUAGUAUGUAGGAAUUUCGGACGCGGGUUCAACUCCCGCCAGCCCACCA
rnacentral:tRNA from 2 species